GCGAAAAACCUUACCUACCCUUGACAUGCUUAAAAUUUUGCAGAGAUGUAAAAGUGCCCGAAAGGGAAUUAAGACACAGGUGCUGCAUGGCUGUCGUCAGCUCGUGUCGUGAGAUGUUGGGUUAAGUCCCGCAACGAGCGCAACCCUUGUCACUAAUUGCCAUCAUUAAGUUGGGCACUUUAGUGAUACUGCCGGUGACAAACCGGAGGAAGGUGGGGAUGACGUCAAGUCCUCAUGGCCCUUAUGGGUAGGGCUUCACACGUAAUACAAUGGCGCGUACAGAGGGUAGCCAAUCUGCGAAGAGGAGCCAAUCUCAUAAAGCGCGUCGUAGUCCGGAUCGGAGUCUGCAAUUCGACUCCGUGAAGUCGGAAUCGCUAGUAAUCGCGGAUCAGCAUGUCGCGGUGAAUACGUUCCCGGGUCUUGUACAC
rnacentral:rRNA from 1 species